AUCACCUGGAGAUCUUGUUGAAAUGUAGAUUCUGAUUCAGUAGGUGAGGGUGGGAUUCUGCGUUUCUAACAAGCUCCCAGGUGAUGUUGA
rnacentral:pre_miRNA from 1 species